rnacentral:rRNA from 1 species
GAUGAACGCUGGCGGCGUGCUUAACACAUGCAAGUCGAACGGACAGGCUCCUGCUUGCCGGGGUACUCGAGUGGCGAACGGGUGAGUAACACGUGGGUGAUCUGCCCUGCACUUCGGGAUAAGCCUGGGAAACUGGGUCUAAUAUCGGAUAGGACGAUUGUUUGGAUGCCAUUGUGGAAAGUAUUUCGGUGUGGGAUGAGCUCGCGGCGUAUUAGCUAGUUGGUGGGGUAAUGGCUUACCAAGGCGUAGACGCGUAGACGGCAUGAGAGGGUGAACGGCCAAAAUGGAACGUAGACACGGACAAGACUGCUAAGGGAGGCAGCAGUAGGGAAUAGUCGGCAAUGGGCGAAAGCCUGACGGAGCAAGGCCGAGGGAGUGAUGAAGGUCUUCGGAUCGUAAAACUCUGUUAUUAGGGAAGAACAAAUGUGUAAGUAAAUAUGCACGUCUUGACGGUACCUAAUCAGAAAGCCACGGCUAACUACGUG